AACGUAGGAGGCAAGCGUUAUCCGGAUUUACUGGGCGUAAAGCGCGUGUAGGUGGUUUGGUAAGUAAGGCGUGAAAGCUCCUGGCUCAACUGGGGAAGGUCGUUUGAAACUGCCGAGCUAGAGGAUGGUAGAGGGAGGUGGAAUUCCGGGUGUAGCGGUGGAAUGCGCAGAUAUCAGGAGGAACACCAGUGGCGAAGGCGGCCUCCUGGACCACUCCUGACACUCAGACGCGAAAGCGAGGGUAGCAAACAGG
rnacentral:rRNA from 1 species